GUCGCUACUACCGAUUGGAUGUUUAAGCGAGACCUUCGGACCUCUGGCGCAUGAUCUUCGGUGAUUGCGCUGAGAAGAAAGUAGAUCUAGCUUAUGUGUCUAGAGGAAGUAA
rnacentral:rRNA from 1 species